UCAAAAGAAACAAUUUAUUUAGAAUGAAACAAAAUCAGCUCAACUGUGAGCGCAUGUUUUGAGUGACAGCUACUUUUAAGCUGUGUGAGCCAUAAAAAGGGUAUUCCUUUACUUUUCCAGCAAUCUUGUGUACACAGCACAAAGCAAAGAGGUCAUUUUUUUUUUUUUCCACUUAAAACACGGGCAUUGGCAUCACAAUAGCAGAUACACAACUUUUUUUUUUUUUUUAAAGCUGCCAUUUUAGUAAAAUGCACAAAUACUAAACAGAUAAGCUUUCUUCCAUCGAGAGGCCCAUGUAAAUUCCACAUAAGCCACAGCUUCUCUUCCCAAAGGUCCAUUAGAGCUUGGUAUCCCAUGCGGUUGUCUUCUGCAGUCCACCAGCUUUUGCUUUGCAGGAGGAAAGAAAAUGUUAUUUCAAUACAAAUGUAUACAACAGAUUUUGUUUCUUUUCUCUUUUUUUUUCUUUUCCCCCUCCCUACAUUAUACAGAUGAAUAUAAAGAGCAACGAGGCCUUUCUGAAUAUUCUACUCGGACUUCAAAAAGCACCAAUACCACCCAUGGGCACAAAGCCUUGAAAUGAAGUCACCUUCUAUGUAUAGAUGCAGAACAAGUAGUGCAGGGCUUCUUUUUGGACCAAGGUUUAAACUAGGCUUACAGUACUGAUGAUUAUUCAACUUGCAGUAACAGUUAAUGGGACACAUGAAAAUACUUAACCCGGAGAAAAACCAACGGAAUUGGGGAUAAUUCAGUUGACUUUCCUCAAAAGAACAAUUCCUGAAGGCAACUUAGCAACAGAAAUAUGAAAUGUAGUGUUUCCACGUUUCUUUUGUUCUCGUUUUGCUGUGGUAUUCUAACAGCAGACAACUCCAAUAUGAAAGAAAAGGUCAAAUCAAAGACACACCUAAUAGAAUUUAAAAGUAUUACUAUUCAAGUAAUAGUUCUCAGCCAUCAUUUUCACACGAUCAAAACUGCAGGAAGUUGAAUAUUCCAUGAACCAUUCUCCAAACCACAGGGUCUGAUUUAAGCCUAAUGCAAAAAAAUCAUCCCAAUCGUUCCGUUUAUAACUCAGUGGAAUAUCUGUCCUUUGGUGCUAUCUGCACAAAGUAAUAAAGGGGGAAACAAAAGGGAAAGAACCCCAAAAGCUCUAUUAGUCACACGGCAAGAACUUUUUCCACUUCAACAGGCACACAGCAGACUCCCCAGGAGUACUGCCCUCAACACUGGUUUUCUUAAAGCCAGGAACUAUGAUUUCCCAAGCCAUUUUUUCCC
rnacentral:lncRNA from 1 species